UGGGGAAUUUUGGACAAUGGGGGAAACCCUGAUCCAGCCAUCCCGCGUGUGCGAUGAAGGCCUUCGGGUUGUAAAGCACUUUUGGCAGGAAAGAAACGUCGCGGGUUAAUACCCCGCGAAACUGACGGUACCUGCAGAAUAAGCACCGGCUAACUACGUGCCAGCAGCCGCGGUAAUACGUAGGGUGCAAGCGUUAAUCGGAAUUACUGGGCGUAAAGCGUGCGCAGGCGGUUCGGAAAGAAAGAUGUGAAAUCCCAGAGCUUAACUUUGGAACUGCAUUUUUAACUACCGGGCUAGAGUGUGUCAGAGGAGGUGGAAUUCCGCGUGUAGCAGUGAAAUGCGUAGAUAUGCGGAGGAACACCGAUGGCGAAGGCAGCCUCCUGGGAUAACACUGACGCUCAUGCACGAAAGCGUGGGGAGCAAACAGGAUUAGAUACCCUGGUAGUCCACGCCCUAAACGAUGUCAACUAGCUGUUGGGGCCUUCGGGCCUUGGUAGCGCAGCUAACGCGUGAAGUUGACCGCCUGGGGAGUACGGUCGCAAGAUUAAAACUACG
rnacentral:rRNA from 1 species